rnacentral:lncRNA from 1 species
AGAGCACGAGAAUGGCUGGACUAACCAGAGAGUCCUCCGAGGCUUCCAGAAAUCCCGGUACUCCUCCUCCCUCUCCCACCUUUACAGAUGCUUAUGCCAGAGGGCUCUGGCUCCAUUCUUCAGGGUCCUCCCUGAGCCCCCAUUACCUGUCUUCUCCAAUCUUUUCGGGACCCACCUUGGCUAUCCUUCCUCUGCUGAGCUUCCCCUAGCCUGCCAGGAUGAUUAGUUGCUCCCGCCUAUGCCACCAUAGCUCCCUGCUCCCCGAAAACAUCGUAUAAUUGGCCUCUACUGGUCGUCUUGGUGUAUUUUAUUUCUAUUUGCAACUGUACUAUAGGGCUGGCCAUAUAGUAUUUGAUAAGUGAACAAAUGAGUGAAUGGAUGAAUGAUGAGUGAAUGAAUGAAUGAAUGAAUGAAGUCUUCUUUGACGUCCCCUGUCCACAGUGAUCUUCUGAGAACCUCUGCAGCAUUUCCUUUGUGUAGCCUCCUUUGGUCCUUAGCAACAACGUUGUAGCAAUUAGUUGUUUGAAUGUGUACUCAGCUUAAGUUCUCGACUGCAGGGUAAGCAAUUUGCCAGUCUAGAGCCAGGUGGGGAGAGCACUGCUUGGGAAUCAGAUCGACCUGGUUCCAAUCCCAGAGCUACCACCUAUUACUUGUGGCCUCAGGUAAUUAUCUCUCUGUAAAGCUCCAUUUCCUCAUAUGUCAAAUGAAGUUAAUAAUAGUGCCUGCUCCACAGGGUUGGUUGUGAAGAGUAAAUGAAAUCAUAUGUGUGAAAUGCCUACCAUAGCGUUUGGCCCCUAGGUGCUCAGUUAAUACCAGUGAAAGAAUUCAAUCUAUUGAUUAAGAUCAGUACCCAAGCCCUGACUCCGUCAUCAAUUUGUAAUGUGAGAUGUGUCAUUUGGAGCAAACUUAUUUAUAACCCUUGGGCUUCAGUUUCCCUAAUUAUAAAACAGAAGUGUUCCAUGUAAGGAUCUUUAAGAGUCUUUGACUUCUGCCCUGCAGAAGCUUUGGGGCCCGGAUAUGAGUUGACAGAUGCUGACAAGUGCGAGGGCUGCAGAGGGUGCUGGGGCUGGGGGGCAGGAGAGCGGGGAGUGCAGAUUCCCUCACCGGACAGGGUCAGGGGCUUGGACAGCCGCAUGAGGGCGAUGUCAUAGUCGUCCUCCUCAUCGGUGUAAUUGCUGUUGAUGAUGAUCUCGGCAAUGGAGGCUGCCUCAGGCAACUGGUGCAGGUUGCUGGUGCCCGCGUACACCUUCCAGCCCUCCAGGACCUUCUCCCGGGUCCUGCAAGAGCCACAAAGGAGCGUGGUCCAGUACCUGCCUGGCAGCGUUCACUGGCAGCCCCUGCUACCUACAGGGAGCCACAGUCAGAGCACCAGCUUGGAGGCAGGAGGAUGGAUAAAAUGACCUCUGGAGGGAACCCUCUAUCUUAUCCCUGGAGUCCAAAGCAAUCCCCCACAGCCCCUCAAAAAUUAUGAGCUUGCAGCUCUGCACCUUACAGUAAUAAAGAGGGAAGGAUGAGUAAGACCUCUGUGUGGCACUCCCCCCCCACUAUCUCCUCUGCAAGUCACCAAGGAUCAAAUAGGAGACUUUGACUUCUGCCAUGCUGAAACUCUGGGGCCUCGAUAUGAACUGACAGAUGCUGACAAGUCACAGGGCUGCAGAAGGUGCUGGGACUAGGGAUGGGGACACAGAUUCACUCACCAGACAGGGUCAAGGGCUUGUACUGAUAAGAUCUCAGUAUUAUUACCCUCAGCAAAUUCAGACAGGACAAAGUAACACACUGAACUCAUUACUAGGGAGGCCAGUGCCCCUGAGGCCUGGUCCCAGAGCUCUUUCCUGCCCACCAGCCUGGGCUGUGGGCCCCCAAAGACAAUAGACCAGCUGGUGACCGUUAGCAGCUGAUACAGUGCCCUGCCUGCAAUCCCUAACCCUCAAUUUCUGGGAUAACUAGGGGCUCCUCUGCUAUGAGUUCCAUUUGCAGGAAGCAGCAACAAACCCAACGCCUUUUUCAUUUCACCCUGUUCUUCAGGGGCAGGCUCCCAGUCCCUCUUCCUGCCUGCCUCUCUCCCCCUUGGGGCCGUCAAUGGGACUUUCUCAUCCUUGGGCCUAGCUCGGAACAAACACCCCCGACCCACACUCUCAGGACCAGGUGAACACCCAAGCUACACCAGUGCCAACUGGCCCAUGGGGGCUGGACUCACACCCAGAAUCCUCCUCCACGAAGAAGUCAGUCUGCAGCCAGCCCUUCCUGGUGGUUCCCGACCCUGGGCAGUGUCAAAUCACCUGCCUCUCAGGCACUUACACGAAGAAGCAGUGGGCGGCAGUGAGCACCCACUGGGCGUCAAUGAGCGUGCCUCCACAGAUGUGGGUGGUGCCGAAGUGCAGACUCACUUGCCAAGGCCACUUGCUAUCCGAGGCCAGCGCCCCUCCCACGAUCCGCCCGGUCAUGGCCCUCAGUCCGCAGUCUGGAGGGAAGGAGUAGACGUACUGUGAACCCUGUUUCUCCCAGGGUUCUUUCCGAGCUCCUGAUCAGGAUGCCUCUGCUGUGCUCCCAGGGCCAGGACAGGCUCAGGCAGCCCCAUCCUGAAGGGCACCCACCCUUCCAUGGACGGGCUUUGCUCCCUUAUCUGCUACACACAGCAGUUUCUGUGAGAGCAGAGCCACCACAUGGUGGGGUGGCUUUCUGGGAUCAUUCCGCGGAAAGUUUGACCCCAGGCAGGUUCCUCUUUCUUCUCCUUCACUCAUUCUUUCAUUGACUUGACAAAUCCUUUUGGAGUGUCCCAAGCUUUGGGCACUGUGUUGGGCAUUGGGGUCAUGAUGGUAAGUCCCAGGACUGCCAUUAGGUGCACAGGAAUGCAGACCAGUUCUAAUGUGACCCUGAAUUGACAAGCAUUAUAAUGAGGGUCUCUAUUGUUUCUAAACAUAGGAAGAAUACACUUCCCCUGAUGCACAGAAGACUCAGACAGCUUCCUUGGAAUAAAAGGUUGCUGGGCUGAGCCCCUACCAGAGUCAGGAGAAGGGGAAAUGUUACCCUGGGUGUACCGGUGCCUUACAGGGACUCCAGCCCUGAAGCAGGCCUGCUGGCUAAGACACUGUUCCUGACUUGAACCCCUGUGCCAAACACCUCCCUUGGAGGAGUGCUGCCCCUCUGCCCUUUACUCCCACACGACACUGGCCACAAUCCAAGAAGAAGAACAUCUUACGGGAACACUGGAGAGAGAUAUACCGCUGGGAAGGGCAUUCAGACCUGCAGGGGGAGACACAGAAAGUGGGAAAAGGGCACAUUAGCUACCUCCUCCAGGAAGCCUUCCUGAUUGACUCCUGCUCAGUUCCUAUCCUGUUUCCAAGGAAGCUACCCUUUGUACAGGAAGCAGGAGAUUCUGAGCUUCCCCUUUCCCCAUGUGACAUUGUCCCUUCCAGUGCUUUGUCCAGAAUCGGAGUGGCUCAGUGCAAACCAUCUCCACUCUCAUCCCCUCAACUAGUUUCCUUGUGGCACAUUGCAGACAUUGGCCCAGAUCCAUGUUCUUCGAACUUAGGACUUCAUUGUCGCAGCAUCUUUUCACAACUAAACAGGUGGUCUGGUGCUCCUCUGACACAGUUCCUCAACGCAGAUGCAGAAACCACGCAGCACAGAGCUGGCAUCCAGCUGCAGCAAAUUCACAUCCCUUCCCUCACCAUUACUUCUCUUGGAGCCUGGCUUCUUCUCUCCCCUCCGUAGGGCAAACAAUGCUAGCUGGCAGAGACCCCAAACCUCUGAUGCUUCCAACGUGGCCCUCCCUGUCCCUGAUGCCUGCACCUGGCGGUCCCCUACUGCUGCCUGUCUACCCUGUCCCCUAACUGCACUGGUGGAGAGAGCAGAGAAUGGGCCGAGUAGAGGAGCGGCAUGUGCAAAGUGUCAUGCCAGGGUGUCAGUGGUGCUUCUCCCCCACCAAUCCAGGUCCACUCCCUGCAGCAGCUCUCAGUCCAAACACCUGGCCGACUGGUGGUCCCAAGGUUCAUGAAUUGCCUCUGACGACCUGAUAAACUCUCAGGGGCACCCCUGGUCUCCAGUUGUCCUCAGCACCGAGCCUCAGAUAAGAAUUCUUAAGUCAGAAGGCAGUUUGGUGAAUAAGGACUAUUUCCAAGAUGCCCCUGAACACUCAUGGUGGACUCCUGGAGGCUGGAUACUAGAAAAGCCAGUGAAGGGGGCUCCCUGACUCAAAGACCCUCUCCUACCCACUCCUUCCCCUGCUCACAAACAGGCAGCCUGCCUGCCCCACCAUACCUGUGGAGGCUUUCCUGGAUGGUGGAGUUGUAUCUCAAGAUUGAGAAGCUGUUGGCAAAAUCCCUGUGGGCAACCUCGGUUGUCCGGUGAGCACUACAAGGGAGCAGAGGGGAGAAGAAUGAGCCCCCUGGAGACAGAGUCAUCCCAAGUCCUCCAGCAGGCUAGAGCCCCACCAGCCCUGCCGACAGAGGCCAGACUGUGAUGGUCUGAAUGGUGGCCAACUCCUCCAAGCAGCAGCUAAGCCCCAAUAAAGUGCAGCCCCACCCACAUGCUCCACCACUGCCCCUUAUCUCCCCCAACUCCCCUCCAAGAUCCCCAGCCCUAUGCACUACCCAGCAUUUCUCAUGGUGGAGACUGGUAGCAUUAGCAUUGCCUGGGAAGUUAUUAAUAUUAGCAAUGCUUCUGAAUCAGAAGCUCUGGGUGUGGGCCCAGCGAUCACCAUUUUAACAGGUUCUCUAGUGAUGCUGAUGCACACUCAAGUUUGAGAAACACCAAUCUUGCCCUUUUCUACCCAAACUGUCAUCUGUGAAUAAGCAGCAGCAGCAACCCCCCCAGACCUACUGAAUAAGAAUCUGCAUUUUAAAGAAUCCCAGGUUACUGAUCUGUACAUUAAAGCGUGAGAAGCUCUGGGCAAGCCCACUGGAUCUUAGAACACAGCGUGCCUAAGAAUCACCUUGGGAUGUUUGCUGAGCAGGUUCUAAGUCCUAAUCCCAGAGAUUCUGAUUCCAAGAUGCAUUUUCACAAGCACGGCGGGUGAUUCUAAUGUGUUCUACUCUCUGCAUGGAACAUAUGUAUAUUUCUAGAACAUGGUACACCCCUGCGUGACGCCCUGGCAUGACACUUAGCACACGCUGCUCCUCUACUCAGAGGGCCCAUUCUCUGCUCUCUCCACCAGUGCAGUUAGGCACCCUCUCCACUGUAUGCCCUUAGUGCUUCACCCACAUCCUCAUCAUUACAUGUCACAUCGUGCUGUGGUUAUUGGUUUAAGUCUCUCUCACUGAGCCACACUAGAGGUCCUUCAAGGCUGGGCUCCUGUCUUAUUCCUUUGUGUCCAGGUACUACACAGUAUCUAGCACACGAUAAAAGCUCAAUGAAUAUUCUUUGAAUAAGUGACAUUCAAAGACCUGAAUACCUAAAGGAGGUUCAGGCUU